GCUAUUGGAGUCCGAUUAAGACAUGCGAGUCGAGAGCUUUCGGAGCUCGGCAUACUGCUCAGUAACACGUGGGUAACCUGCCCUGUGCUGGGGGAUAACCUCGGGAAACUGAGAACAAUACCCCAUAGUCCACUACGCCUGGAACGGUGAGUGGAUGAAAGCCCCGGCGGCACAGGAUGGGCCUGCGGCGUAUCAGGUAGUAGGGGGUGUAAAGUACCCUCUAGCCUUCGACGCGUACGGGUUGUGAGAGCAAUAGCCCGGAGAUGGAUUCUGAGACACGAAUCCAGGUCCUACGGGACGCAGCAGUCGCGAAACCUUGACAAUGCGGGAAACCGUGAUCAGGGGACUCCAAGUGCCAGGAGUAAGAUCCUGUGCUUUUCUUUUCUCUUCAAAGGAUUUGGAAUAAGAGGUGGGUAAGGACGGUGCCAGCCGCCGCGGUAAUACCGGCGCCUCGAGUGGUAGUCGAUUUUAUUGGGCCUAAAACGUCCGUCGCCGGUCUGGUGCAUUCGUGGGUAAAUCAACCCGCUCAACGGGUUGAAUUCUGCGAGCACGGCCAGACUAGGGACCGGGAGAGGUGUGGGGUACGCUCGGGGUAGGGGUAAAAUCCUGUCAUCCCGAGCGGACCACCUGUUGCGAAGGCUCCACACUAGAACGGAUCCGACGGUCAGGGACGAAGCCUAGGGGCACGAACCGGAUUAGAUACCCGGGUAGUCCUAGGUGUAAACGCUGUGGACUUGGUGUUGGGAGCUCCCAGAGGGCUCUCAGUGCCGUAGCGAAGGUGAUAAGUCCACUGCCUGGGGAGUACGGUCGCAAGGCUGAAACUUAAAGGAAUUGGCGGGGGAACACCGC
rnacentral:rRNA from 1 species